UUGAGGCCAGUUAGUCCUUGCAUCGAAUUCCUUUGGCAACUUCAAAGAUUUAGUAUGAGCUUUUACUGGUAUAUCUUCUUUCUCCAAGGCAUUGGCAGGAAGUGGUUUCACUCCGAGUAUGCGUUUGAAUUGACCAACAGUGAAAUUAGUGAAGCGAGGAUUCAUGGAAGCCUGCCAUCCCGCGGCAGGAUUAGCGUUGACCUUCUCGACAAUGGAAUCCUGAAGGAUCCGAGCAUCGAUUCUGAUCGGAGGAAUUUGUUUCACGGCAAUCACCUGGUUGGAGAGGGACAAGAGUAGCAGAAGCGCUGCAAGGGCUCCAGUGCCGGGGGCCAUCAUCGUCGGCGCCCCUCUCCGUCGAGUGAAUUGAGG
rnacentral:misc_RNA from 1 species